rnacentral:rRNA from 1 species
UACGAAGGGGGCUAGCGUUGUUCGGAAUCACUGGGCGUAAAGCGCACGUAGGCGGAUCUUUAAGUCAGGGGUGAAAUCCCGAGGCUCAACCUCGGAACUGCCUUUGAUACUGGGGAUCUCGAGUCCGGGAGAGGUGAGUGGAACUGCGAGUGUAGAGGUGAAAUUCGUAGAUAUUCGCAAGAACACCAGUGGCGAAGGCGGCUCACUGGCCCGGAACUGACGCUGAGGCGCGAAAGCUAGGGGAGCAAACGGG